CCUACGGGCGGCAGCAGUGGGGAAUAAUGGACAAUGGGCGAAAGCCUGAUCCAGCCAUGCCGCGUGUGUGAAGAAGGCCUUCGGGUUGUAAAGCACUUUCAGUGGGGAAGAAAGCCUUGGGGCUAAUACCCUCGAGGAAGGACAUCACCCACAGAAGAAGCACCGGCUAACUCCGUGCCAGCAGCCGCGGUAAUACGGAGGGUGCGAGCGUUAAUCGGAAUUACUGGGCGUAAAGCGCGCGUAGGCGGUCUGAUAAGCCGGUUGUGAAAGCCCCGGGCUCAACCUGGGAACGGCAUCCGGAACUGUCAGGCUAGAGUGCAGGAGAGGAAGGUAGAAUUCCCGGUGUAGCGGUGAAAUGCGUAGAGAUCGGGAGGAAUACCAGUGGCGAAGGCGGCCUUCUGGACUGACACUGACGCUGAGGUGCGAAAGCGUGGGUAGCAAACAGGAUUAGAUACCCGAGUAGUC
rnacentral:rRNA from 1 species